AACAUCACCUUUUUCAGAAAACAAAACCAACACAAUUUAUGAACUCAACAAAUUACACACCUGCAAAUCAAUGUGACUACUGCUGUUGCCUUUGCGAGACCAGUUCAGAUAUACGUCAUCACAAAUUUA